UGGGAUGUAGCCAAGGGGUAAGGCAACGGGUUUUGGCUCCGUCAUGCGCAGGUUCAAAUCCUGCCAUCCCAGCCA
rnacentral:tRNA from 1 species